AAAAAUACAUUCUCACCUUUGUUGUUUCUUGGGUAAUGUUGGGAAAGAAAGGACCCAAUUAUUCCCUGAUAGUAUAAUUUUACUUGUUUUACAGGACAGAAAGUUAUCUAAGCUCAAUAGUUCUGAGAAAUGUCUUCAUCUAGGAGCAUUCCCUCUGUUUCUUAGAAGUUUGAAUUUGGGAGAAAGGUUGACAAUCUGGGGGAAAAAAAGACGAAGCGAAAGGAACAGCAUGCUCAGGAGGGCACACACCACGCCAGUUCCCUUGCUUCUAAUGGUUAUCACGUACCAACCCAAGUGGCUGCCGCCUUAUUAAUCAUCAUAUUCAUGAAAAGCUCUACUACUAUGAGAAGUAGAACCCUGUGCCCAUCCUCCACAGCACAGCAGUCUUGGCUGAUGAUGUAAGUGUGCCUUUCGGAGCUCCCUGCCACCCGGCUCCCUUGGGCCCGGUCCUGAGCAGAGCUCUUCCUGGCGCAGACACAAGUGUGAGAUCCUGGGAGUGAAAACCAGAAGCCGCUGCAAAUGUUUCCAAAAGUCCUGUCACCGAGGACCUUAUGCGGAUACUGUGCUGAUUUGCAUUCACUCUCCUGCUCAAAAAAUUGUGCGUGGGGAUGUCCUCUGUUCUACCUGGGUGGCUACAGUAGCAGAAGUCUGAGGCUAGAACUCUCUGGGCAGAGAGAAACUGUCAGCUACUAGUGUUCUGAGAAAGGCACAGGCAGGAGGAAUGCUUUGGAGAAAUAAAGACAAAUGAGCUAGGUCUGUUGCUGACAGUGCUAAAAACUGACAGAUACGCUAGUGUCGGAACGAGGCCUGAUGAAAUACAUAAAAAGACAGGAUUGUUUUCAAAAUGAAGUAUAAAGCAUCAUAAUGAUUUAUGGAUAUUAGACCUUUCCACAUUACCUUCAUAACCAAAGAAUAAGUGACAGAAGCAGUUAGCAUUGAUGGAGUAAUUUCCUGUAGCUAUCAUUUUAUUUUCAAUCUUGGAAUGAAUUACCUUGCUGUUCCUUGCCGUUCACUUUCAAACUCAGAUGAAUUGAAAGCACACCUGGAUAAACUGUAAAGGACACUGAGCCAGAGGAGAAAUAGGUCUCCUGUGAAGGUCUGUAUGAGCUGUUGGCUGUUCUGCCAGUCCAGCUGGGGCCACGUGUGGACAGCCAGGAAGACCUGACCUUCCUCUGGGAUAUGUUUGGUGAGAAAAGCCUGCAUUCACUGGUUAAGGUAAAAACCAUGCUGAUGUCAGAUUCUCUUGGUGGGAAAACAUGGAAAAACAUUUUGAGUGCUGUCUCAUAAACCAGAGAUCAAAUUGUUGCCUUCUGCAAGGCAGAACAAAUCAGCCUUGUUCCGUGAUGAGCAUGGAAGUUGUUAAAGAUUUUACCAAAAAUACCUAGAUGAUUUCCCUUAAUGGUGGUGAUCUGGCUGUGUGCACUAAUGAAGCCAACGUAUGCCUGCCCUUGUUUAGAAGAAGAAUAUGAAAUAAUAGCAGGAAGGUAUAGGCUCCUUAUGGACAACAUUCAUGAGCUGGAAUUUAGCUUGAGUAAUGAAUGGUCACAACAAAAAUUAGAAGGAAUAUAUUUUCUGAGGUUAGGGAUGGCAGCAGUUCAUAGCCACAUUAAUUUAAAAUAAUUACCUUUCCACACCAAUCUUAAGAUAAUUUGUUCCAACUC